CGCCUGUUUAUCAAAAACAUCUCUUCUCGUUAGUUUUUGAAGUAUGGCCUGCCCACUGACCUUGAAUGUUGAAGGGCCGCGGUAUUUUGACCGUGCAAAGGUAGCAUAGUCAUUAGUUCUUUAAUUGUGAUCUGGUAUGAAUGGCUUGACGAGGCAUAAGCUGUCUUAAUUUUGAAUUGUUUAUUGAAUUUGGUCUUUGAGUUAAAAUUCUUAGAUGUUUUUAUGGGACGAGAAGACCCUAUAGAGUUUGACAUUUAUUACGGUCUUUUUCUGUUUGUGAGGGUUCACUAGGGCUGUUUAAUAUGUUUUGUUGGGGUGAUGGGAGGGAUAUUAUUUAACCCCUCCUUUGUGUUGUUAUAUUUAUUUAUAUUUGCUUGAUCCAUUUAUUUUGAUUGUAAGAUUAAAUUACCUUAGGGAUAACAGCGUAA
rnacentral:rRNA from 1 species